rnacentral:lncRNA from 1 species
UGACGCUUUGGCUUAUCAAGAUGGCAUGAAAUUUAUACAACAUCUCCAUAUCCCCAAAAUAUUUAUCUCCUCCAAGUUUCAACUUCAUCCAAGAAAGUAUGUGAGUGCCACAUCAUAAUCCUUAUUCUGGACGAGAUUAGCUAGUUCCAAAGCAACCCUGUCAAAUAUUGACCCCGUGAUCCUCAAACUUCCCAGGUUUGUAGUCCCUCCUACCCUGAACCUCCCAGACAUGGUAGUUUGCUCUUAUCUCUUUCCUGUUGACCAUAGUAUUAGUGCCAAGUUGGCUACAACAAACUUAUAGUGACUUUUUCCAUCUCCCCAGUGAUCCCUCUGCUGAUCCAUCACCUCCAGGCUACCUUGGGGACCAAGGACUCCACCCUAGACAAGGUGUGUCAGCCCCUCUUGUCUCCUCAACACCAGUGCACGUGGUGACCACACCUGUGGCAUGCAAUAGUCGUGCUCUGUGCAAUGGAGCCCUUGGUGUGGUCGAUUCCUCCUCUCCCCCGAGCUCUAGUCAUGUCCAACAGCUCCCCAUCG